rnacentral:rRNA from 1 species
AUCAGUAACUGGUCUGAGAGGAUGACCAGUCACACUGGGACUGAGACACGGCCCAGACUCCUACGGGAGGCAGCAGUGGGGAAUUUUCCGCAAUGGGCGAAAGCCUGACGGAGCAAUACCGCGUGAGGGACGAAGGCUUUUGGGUCGUAAACCUCUUUUCCCUGAGAAGAAGAUCUGACGGUAUCAGGGGAAUCAGCAUCGGCUUACUUCGUGCCAGCAGCCGCGGUAAUACGAGGGAUGCAAGCGUUAUCCGGAAUUAUUGGGCGUAAAGCGGUCCGCAGGUGGCUCUGUAAGUCUGUCGUUAAAGAAUGGGG